CAGCAGGAAGGUGGUGGUUCCAAGCAGGGGCUCGGUGUGGUUAUUACGUGCGCCGUGCGGAUCGGUCCCGGUUCCUCCUCAGUUGUGCCAUCUCGUUCGGGUCGUGGUAACGAAGUGGUGGUUUCUUCCGUUAGGUAUCGUGAACAAGUCGUCGAAGAAGAGAACGAUUCUUGAACAGGUGGAAGGAAGUGGGUUCCUAUACCGCCCCCACUCGUGACGCUGCCCCCGGUACUUGAGAGAGGAGCCGUUCGAGUGGCGGAACGAGUCACUGCUCAUGCUAGACGAGUUCUCCCAGGCGUUCCUCUAGGUCAAGGAGUUCGCGCUCGAGCCGUCCUACGUCCAGGACGACCUCUUUGACUGGCUGUACCUCCGCUCCGAGCUGCCGGAACCGUUCUCGAUCCCCCUGUCGCACGCGCUGGAGUCGAUGCUGUACCUUCUGACGUAGCUGGCGAAGUACCUGGCCGAACCUGCGCCUCCACGGUUUGGUUUCAAGUACUUCGCCUGCCGAGUGGUCGAGUUCUGAGACACCCGCGCGGUACUGUAGCGCUGGGUCUAGUUUCUCGAGUUUCGAGCGCAGUACCUCCUUUCGCUCGCUGCACUGUCCAAGUUCGAACUACUCUCAAUGAUAUCACGUUGUUCCUACCACCUCUAUCUGGGCGCCUAUUGGUGCGAGAUGCUCCUCCAGUUCCCGAACCACCGUUACCUGCUGGCUCACUUCGUUCAAUGAUGAAAUAACUACCUACCCUCAUACCUCGACUUUCACCACGGCUAACAGCCGAGGCCACCCAACCCCUUCUGGUGGAACCGUUACCUCCACAUAGCGUUCUAACCUCAUGCUCUUCUGAAGGUCACGGCUCGAAUACAUAGACAAAGUGCGUGAGAACUAGAUGUCUUCGAGAACUUCCUAUAGAACAGAGUUUAGCUACUGUUCCUUACAGUCGGUCUCCCAACCUUGUAUCUGGCUGAUUAAGCAUUUUGACGUGUUUAGAACUGGCCUUUCUCCAUGAAGCAACAAUAACUACUACAUACCUUUCUUCUUGUGACCUUUAACCAGUUCAGUCGUAAAGGACUCUUAUUAUUACCAUCGUCUUAUUAACGAUGAUGUGCGUAAUCGGUACAUCGAUUACCCACAACAAGGUUGAGACCACCACUUGGGAUAGUUUACCGCGGAGAUCUACUACAACUAAGGGCUUUUAACAAGGAAUUCUCUUGUAAGGCGUAUCUACUAGGAACACGACAACUUGACCUUCUUCAAAGUUGAUUCUAGAAUUUUUUUACACCACCAGAAGGUGAUUGAUAUUAAUGUAAACGUUCAAACGAACGGUUAUUCUGUGUAUUCUUCCUACUUACCCUCUCUGACGUUCUGAGGUAACCAUGACCAGGAAACGAACUAUCACUACCCUUGAAUUUUCCCUACUUUCUAUAUAACAAUGAAUCAAUGACUCUAGAAGGUGUGGUAAACUUCUGAACAAACAACAUGAACACAUAUAUAGGUCUCCUGAUGUUCUAGUUCACACUUCUUGACUUUGCCUUUACCUACCGGCUUCCUAAGGAACUAUCUGCUACCCCUCACCCCUGCAAACCUACUACAUCGUCUUUUGACAUAGUUACUAGAACAAUUAUCUUUAUACUAGGUCGGUUGACUAUAACUAGUACUACCAUGACACUUUAUAACAGCUCAGGUACUAUACCACGAACUGGAAUAGUAUAGAAAUAGUCUACUUCUCUUAAAACGGUGACAAAAUUUACCUGCACAUACGUUAAGAAAAGGUUCGUUCUAAGCUGCAGAGAGGUACGUUAAUUCACCGUUUCUCGUAUUACCGUGUUUGGCACGCUAAUGUCUUUGGUUCGAUGUAGAAGCGAGUGACUGAUGGAAAACCGUUCAAGUCGUCCAUGGGGGGGAACAGGAACACCUGAAGGUACGAAACGCCCACAACCUAGAACUCCCUAAAAUAAUAAACCUUUUGUUCGUACAUUUUGUAUAUCCUUCGAGCGCAGUCGACUCUAUAAACUCUUAAGCGUCACCCUUUUAAUGACUCGAAGGACGACUUUAGCCUUUCGACGUCGUGAAUGUUUGAGAGCUAAACUCUCCGACAAUAAUAGAACUUUCUGACGGUAGUUGACACCACGUCAACGUCUGUAACCACGCGGAUAAACAGUCGCCAAUGUGUGUUAAUGGACGUUCACCCAAGGCCUCAGACGUUCGGAACCCCCUCAAUGCUAAGUCACUUUGACUGCUGGGUCACUCUAAACGCCUCCUUCAUUUACUCAACCCGUUUACGUUGGAAGCGAUAGAAGCAUGACCUCUCUAUCGGCUCGCAGACAAGACAUUGGGCACGACGUGGAUGGGAACGGAGGUUCAAGAAUUUUAAUUCAGUCUAUAACAUUACCUUUACCAAGGGUCCUCGUACCGGAGGGAAGUUUUAGAGUACUCUGAUACCUAUCUCCAGUCCCUUAAACUCCUCCUCCCAGAGGUUCAGGACUACCCGUACGGAAGAGACCGGGUAGAAGUCGAUUUGUAUGUUUGACUCUACUUUCUUUUCGACCGGCACCCAUCAUUACCUAAGUUUGAGGAUUUCCAGAAAGCGAAGUUUAUAUCCAGUUUGGGAAGACGAAAAUUUAAACUUGCUUGUAGUUCACCACCUGACCUGUAGAGUCUUUUAUUUGGUCUACCUGACCCCGAUUGUAAACAAGGUCCACGACACGGUCGUGAGGCUACCGAGACAGAAUUUAACUCGGGGUACUGCCACCGCAGUCUAAAAAAACAUCUGAACCCACAGCUCGUAGAAGGUCCGGAACAUCUGGAGUUCCAGCUUUAGUUAACAUUGUCUCGUCGAGGUCCGGCCCACCUUCGGCACCUCAGAAGGCAACUUUUUCGUUAGUUGGACGUGGGGUUGACACUUUAGGUACAGGUGUCUCAGAGACUUAUAGAGUACAAAUUCCUACUUUUCCUGACCCUUCUCCGGCAGAACUUCCUUUCUUUCCUCUACAUCUUUCCAAAUCCGCUUAAGAACUAGCUUCUUUGCUCUGGACUUCUCCUUCUCACUCUCUGAUUGGUCGUCCUUGACCGGUGGAAUAGGGCGUCAAGCAUGCACCUAGGUUCAGUUCACUCUCGAAGUGCCAACAGGUUAGGUCAGGACGGUAAACGACGUUCAGACGUUAAGUUGACCGGCCGGUGGUGUGGUCGUAAACUAGACGUCGGUAUAAGUCAGACAUAAGGCUCUCUCUGUUCGGUCCAAGGUCUUGGUUUAAACAACUCACCUAGUCUACUUAAGUACCACGGAAUAGACGUCACACUCUAUAAAAGAAAGGAUUUAGAUAAGCGGUCGGAGGGUAGGAUAACCCAAACGAACUCAUCUUAUCUGCAACACACUCACACACACACAUUGUAGGGACUUAAGAUAAAUAGAGAGCGGUACCGUCUUG
rnacentral:rRNA from 1 species